rnacentral:snRNA from 1 species
GUCGCUUCUCGGACUUUUGGCUAAGAUCAAAGUUUAGCUUCUGUUCUUAUCAAAUCAACCUUCCAUUGAGAUUCAAACGAAUCUCUUUAGGGUUAUUCGAUUUUUGGAACCGGAUGGGUUUUGCGGGCUUGCUCGCAUACCAUCACGAGUUGACUUAGCGUUGCACUGCUGCUGGGAUCGGCCCACCCCAA